UACAGAGGUCUCAAGCGUUGUUCGGAUUCAUUGGGCGUAAAGGGUGCGUAGGCGGCGUGGUAAGUCGGAUGUGAAAUUUCGGAGCUUAACUCCGAAACUGCAUUCGAUACUGCGGUGCUUGAGGACUGGAGAGGAGACUGGAAUUCAUGGUGUAGCAGUGAAAUGCGUAGAGAUCAUGAGGAAGACCAGUGGCGAAGGCGGGUCUCUGGACAGUUCCUGACACUGAGACACGAAGGCCAGGGGAGCAAACGGG
rnacentral:rRNA from 1 species